UGGUGUUGCGUGUUUCGCGCUUCGCGUGUCACCUGUCAUGGCGGAGAGGUCCGCGUCGUUGGUGAAAAUGUUCUUCACUCCCAGCUCCUGCAAAGUGCUCUUCAGGUCGAUCUUCUGCUCCACCUUGAACCUGCACAGGUAGACCUCCACCUUCUGCCGCUUCACGUUGUUGGCCCACUCCUCCAGCAGCGGCGCUUUGAUGAUGGGCUCCAGCGAAGCCAGCGGGACCUCCUGCCGCGGCAGGAUGAUCAUCAUGGACAUGUCCUCCCCCUCGUACGGCAUUUCCAGCACCUGGUAGACGCCACCGGCUUCCUGGGAGCCGUCGCUGAACUCACCUGGCGGGGAAACAUUUGCUUUUGAACGUGCUAAACGCUGCAUGCGGAGGACUUUAUUCAAAAAAUAUGACCAUGCUGCAAUAUGUGAACGCCAACACGGUCGUCUCCCCGAGGACCUGUCCCUGUUCUGCGGCUUUCAGGUUCUCCCAUCUACCGUCUCCACGCACGCGCUCCUGCUCGGCUACGCCUUUGAUCCUCAGCGUGACUGUUAAUUUGCUCCGCCACCGCUGCGGAUUCUGUGAAGUCUACUGUUUCCACGUCCGCGUGGAAGUACUUCCUCAUCAGAUGCAGGAACUCGGGGUUGAAAGCGACGCCAUCUUGCAGGAAGAGGCGGUUGGCGAAUCGGAUCACGUAUUGGGUGUCAUCGUCAGACAGAGCUGACGUCAGGUUCUGGAGCAAAGAGAACUCCACACCUGGUAAACACCGGGACGCAGCAGGUGGCUGAAUCCCACCGCCUGUCGUAUCUCCUCCAGCGAAGCUCCCUUGGCUCCCAGCUCCACCAUGCCCAGAGCCACAGCAACGCUCAGUGGGGAGAAAAUGAUGUUGUCCUGCCCCCCCACCGCCUUCAGCGUGUGGUACAGUCUGACUGAGAACUCAGACGUAGUGUCCUCGGGAAUGUCCGCCGCCCGGCAACCGUAGCCCGGCAACAGGAUGGAGAUGAGGAGAAGGAGCAGGGACAGAACGUCCAGGAUCAACAUCGCAGCACAGACCGCAGAUAGCUAAGUGAAACAAGGGCAGAAAAGAAAACCAAGUGAAAUGUGAUGAAAUGGGAGAGGAGAAAUAGAGAAUAGGAGGUGGAUGUGUUAUGAAAUAUAUGUUUGGAAGAACAAGAUAUAAGUAAGAUGAUGGAGCAAACAGGUGGGGAAGGAAGGAACAAAUGAUGAUGAUGGAAAAGAGGGAACAGAGUCACAGGAGUUGCAUAAGUACGGAAGAGAGAGAGAGUAAGAAUUUAUUGUGCAAGCGAGAAAAACGGAUGAAGGACAAGAGGAUUGAAAGUAGAGAGGGGAAGGAAAUAAGAGGAUGAAAAGAGAGAGACAGAGAGAAGCAUCUGUCAGUCAAUUAAUAAAAAAAACUAAUACGUGCUGUAAAAUGAGGAGUUGGAAAAUUCAAUGAGUUGCAAUUAAAAGGUCACAGGUC